UGCCUAUAACAAGGGUAGUGAACUUUGUGGAAAAGUGGGUUUUCUUCUCCAGGAGGUCCCUUUGCCAGCUUUUCUGCAAAGUUCAUUACCCUUGUUAUAGGC